AUGAGGAUGAUGAUAGUGAUGACACGCCAAGAGGAGGAAGAAGUGAGGGCAAAUGAUAAAGGAAACAAGGAGAAAGCGAGAACCCGACGAUGGGAAAGUCAUGGGCAUCAGCGGCGGCUCCGUAGCCCACAUCACAUUCACCGCGUCGCUCCGCACGUCCUCGCCCCACUUCUGCUCUUUCUUCCCAACUCCGACGAUGGGAAAGUCGCGGGCCUCGGCGGCGGCUCCGGAGCCCGCCUUCAAACUCUGGGGAUAUCGCACUCAUCGGUGGCCAGCUCCUCGGCGAUGGAGGAGAUCGUCAUCUCCUCUAGCGACAAGGAGUACCAACCGCCACAACAGCAGUCAGCGGCACAACAGCAGCCACUGACACAGGGCGCGGUCUAUGCGUGA
rnacentral:rRNA from 1 species